rnacentral:rRNA from 1 species
AUGACGACGGCGGAGGAGGUCGGCAAUGGACUGGAGUUCUUAUCAGAUCUGGUGGAUAGGUUCCCCUUGCUGGAUCUUGCAUCAAUCGAUUUCAAUCCAGCGGGUGAACUGGAUACUUGUUUUACACAGUCAGCUGUUGAAUCGAGCAUGGGAGAUAUUGGCGACGCUCCGCUUACAAUCCAGGUCGCUGAGAACAACGGCUGCGAGGAACUGAGCUUGUCGGCGGCCGAUUCACAACAAUCAACAGGAAAAGAUGACCGUCAGGCCCCCGGGUGGACAAAAAGGGUUCAUAUUGGGCGAGCCCCUCUCGAGCGUCCACCUUGUGCUGGAAGAGUAUGUGCCCUUGAGAAAACAUUAAGAGGAUAUGCGGAAAAGAGAACAAAUACCGUUGUAGUACCAGCUGUUGGAUACAACUUCGGUUCAUUGGGGGAGGCGUACGACUUCUAUAACCUAUAUUCGUGGGAAAUUUGA